rnacentral:rRNA from 1 species
AUUGAACGCUGGCGGCAGGCUUAACACAUGCAAGUCGAGCGAGCGGCGGACGGGUGAGUAAUGUCUGGGAAAUUGCCUGAUGGAUGGGGUUAACUACUGGAAACGGUAGCUACUACCGCAUACCAUCAGAUGUGUCCAGAUGGGAUUAGCUGGGAGGUGGGGUAAUGGCUCACCGAGGCGACGCUCCCUAGCUGGUCUGAGAGGAUGACCGGCAACAGUGGAACUGAGACACGGUCCAGACUCCUACGGGAGGCAGCAGUGGGGAAGAUUGCACAAUGGGCGCAAGCCUGAUGCAGCCAUGCCGCGUGGGUGAAGAAGCGCGUCGGGUUGUAAAGCACUUUCAGCGAGGAGGCGUUACUCGCAGAAGAAGCACCGGCUAACUCCGUGCCAGCAGCCGCGGUAAUAC